UUUCUCAAGAAAACUACUGGCGCAUGUCUCACCAAAAUGAGGGAGUGAAAUCAAGAAUGAGGAAGAUGUGAAACCCAAGAAUGCUUACGUGACAAAAAGUUGUAUAAGAAAGGAAAGAUCUGAGAUUAUAUUCAUCUAUAAAAUGUGGCCAAAAUCUGCCCCAAAGGCCUAAGUGAUGUUAGGAAGAGUUCCAGUUGCUGGAGCACUGGAGCUGAGACCAUUGCCGAUGACUAAGAGUGGAGAAAUUCUGCCCCCGAAGCCCACUCCACCAUAAGCCUCCUGACUGGAGACUCAGCGGAGUUGAAAAAUUGACCUCUUCAAAGAACGUCCAAUGAGGCAUCUCCAUAUGCAACAAGCAUG
rnacentral:lncRNA from 1 species